UACGUAGGGCGCAAGCGUUGUCCGGAAUUAUUGGGCGUAAAGAGCUCGUAGGCGGCUUGUCACGUCGGGUGUGAAAGCCCCGGGGGCUUAACCCCGGGUCUGCAUUCGAUACGGGGCAGGCUAGAGUGUGGUAGGGGAGGAUCGGAAUUCCUGGUGUAGCGGUGAAAUGCGCAGAUAUCGGGAGGAAUACCUAUGGCGAAGCAGGCUUCUGGCCAUCACUGACGCUGAGCUGCGAAAGCUAGGGAGCAAACAGG
rnacentral:rRNA from 1 species